rnacentral:rRNA from 1 species
AAAAGGAGCUUGCUCCUUUGACGUUAGCGGCGGACGGGUGAGUAACACGUGGGCAACCUACCCUAUAGUUUGGGAUAACUCCGGGAAACCGGGGCUAAUACCGAAUAAUCUCUUUUGCUUCAUGGUAAAAGACUGAAAGACGGUUUCGGUUGUCCCUAUAGGAUGGGCCCGCGGCGCAUUAGCUAGUUGGUGAGGUAACGGCUCACCAAGGCGACGAUGCGUAGCCGACCUGAGAGGGUGAUCGGCCACACUGGGACUGAGACACGGCCCAGACUCCUACGGGAGGCAGCAGUAGGGAAUCUUCCACAAUGGGCGAAAGCCUGAUGGAGCAACGCCGCGUGAGUGAAGAAGGUUUUCGGAUCGUAAAACUCUGUUGUAAGGGAAGAACAAGUACAGUAUUAACUGGCUGUACCUUGACGGUACCUUAUUAAAAAGCCACGGCUAACUACGUGCCAGCAGCCGCGGUAAUACUUAGGUGGCAAGCGUUGUCCGGAAUUAUUGGGCGUAAAGCGCGCGCAGGCGGUCCUUUAAGUCUGAUGUGAAAGCCCACGGCUCAACCGUGGAGGGUCAUUGGAAACUGGGGGACUUGAGUGCAAAAGAGGAAAGUGGAAUUCCAAGUGUAGCGGUGAAAUGCGUAGAGAUUUGGAGGAACACCAGUGGCGAAGGCGACUUUCUGGUCUGUAACUGACGCUGAGGCGCGAAAGCGUGGGGGAGCAAACA